rnacentral:lncRNA from 1 species
CUUUGAUAUAUUUAUUAUUAAAGUGCAUUGAUGUACAAAAUUUUUGCCAUAUACAUUGUUAUGCCUAUUUCAGUGAUGGAUGGAUACCCCUUCCCAUUUCCAAGUUCCCCCUUCCUUUCCUACCCCUAAUACAAUGUUUGUAUUAUUAUUACUUGUUAUACCAAAUUUUAAACCUUUAAUAAAAAUUAUUUGAAAAGGAAGUGAUUAGUGAAAGGUAAGUUCGGCAUGACAGUGCUGCUUUAAACCUUUUUUUAUUUUAAUGCUGAUUAUGUGGUCUUACUUCCUGUGCCUGGUUGCAGGUUAGCAAAAAGAUCUGACUGAUACAGAAUGAGAACUUGUCCCUAGACUCAGAAUCAAGUGGAGGGGGGAUUUAUGGUAAGUAAAAAUUCAUGUUCCCCAAGAUAAAGACUAGUGAUGCCCAGCCCAAUGACAGUAUGAGGUGACUCUGGAAAAGAACCUGCAAGCAUGCAUCUAGUGAAUAUUUUGCAAGAAAUCUUCCCAAGUCCCCUUUGCGUUCCAUAAUUGUAAUCAUACUUUUGCACACAAUGCAUUUCACACACAGACACACAUACACAAGCAAUGCAUCCCUUACACACACAGAAACACACAAUGCAUUCGUUACACACACUCAAUGCAUCCCUUACAGACGCACACACUGCAUCCCAUACAUACACAAACACACCUUGCAGCCCUUACACAUACAAACACAGAUUCACACAAUGCAUUCGUUACACACACUCAAUGCAUCCCUUACAGACGCACACACUGCAUCCCAUACAUACACAAACACACCUUGCAGCCCUUACACAUACAAACACAGAUUCACACAAUGCAUUCCUUACACACAUCAGGACAUUCCCUACACACUCCACCCCCUGUGAACAAACUCAUUGGUGGAACAUGAAGGUGGACCCUGGGACCCAGACAUGGGCUGUGUAAAGGGACCCCCAAAAAUGGAGCUGCUUCCUGUUAUCCCAGAACAUUGAUUUUUGUGACAACAGUUACAAACCGCCUCCAGAGAGCCUGUUCUACACCAGACCAGUGGAGCCAGACUGCAGCUAGAGCCCAUCAUCAUCCUCAUCUGGUUGUAAGUAGGCAAUCUAUUAUAUUAUUUGUGGCACUAAUCUCUAAUUUACCUCACAUUAAAGAAACACUAUAGUCCCCAGAACCAUUGCAGCUUAAUGUAGUGGUUCUGGUGUCUAUAGCCUGUCCCUGCAGGCCUUUUAAUGUAAACACGGCGGCACUGCAGCACUGGCGUUAGUUAACAUGGCAGAUCAUGGGUAUAGUAAAGCUUGUAGUGGCGGGUAACUUGUAAUGCCGGGUAACUUGUAAUGCCUGGCUAUUAGCAUAGAACUACAAAUUGUAAGCUUCUGAUGAUAUCAUGUCAUCCUCUAAAUUACCCAGUAAGCAAUUUUCAUUAGCUCAACAGUAGACAGUGGCUUCAGGUAGUAGAUAGCUUUCUACUCCACCUUGCUUAUAGAGAGUCCGCGUGUUGCAGGGCAGACUCUGCCCACAGGAGUCAUUUGACCGUCUGCAGUAACUCAGUAGAACUAGAACCAUUACUUAUGAGUUAGAAAAAUAAUCAAUAAAAAGGAUCUCACUGUACAAGGAUGCAUAAUAUUAGAGAGCACUACCCAUCAUCUCCUUUUCUAAUCUACAGCCUUAUGGGCUGCAACACAAACUGCAGACGAGGAGUCCCCCUCCUUUUUUCCAUGCACUGUACAUAUACCAUAAAUAUAUUCAACAUCAAUGUUAAAGUCACUAAAAGGAAGUCUAAUAAAUAUGGUGUUUAGAGCAGCCCUUGUAUUUUUCUCCUUCCAAUUCCAAUAUGUUCUUUGUCCACUAUCUGCUCCAACUCUCUGUUCAUCUUCUUACAGUUUAUUGUUCAUAUGUGAUAUUAUCUGUUAAGACUAAUUGACACUUCAGGUAGCCAGAUGAAAAUCAUUCCUUCUCUUUUAAAUAAACAUCAUUAACCAAUGGCCAUUCCUCUGUGUCCAUUAUGUUACUGCAGUACAAAUGGAGUAUGCUAUUUAUUUUGCUAAGUUUUUAUUUAGAAUGCACAGAUUGUGUUUCUCCACAUCAUCUGCAGACAGGUUACUGUGGGAGAAUCACACUAUCCUUCUUGUGUCUGUGAAGAAGCAAGCUAGUAAACAGCUCUGUCAGAUAAGCCUGGUAGCACUGUAUCACAGACAUUGUGAAUGACCCAAUAAAUGAGGGAUAUUGAUCACACUGCCUGGCACCAGAGAAGUGUGCAAUGCAGUCAUAUGUGAACAAAAGAAUUGUGUAAACCUUCCAAAACUGAAAAGGUUAUAAACCCUCUAUGGACAUAGGAGCAGAAUAAUAAAAUUUAUGGGGUGAGGUAGAAGGAGAAAGAAGGCAACCAAUGCUUAAAAUAGUAGACUAACCCUAUCACCAUGACAGGCCGGGGCUGCGAGGGUAGCCUAGGUAAGCAAAGCAUAAACUUACUAAAUAUUGUCAGGAGACUACUUUGGUCAGC